UAUCCAGAUUGCAACAUGUUUAGUUAUCUCUAACAGAAAGCCAUAGCUAAGUUACAGUAAAUUAUCACUGUCAAUUUUAAAUAUCAUUUGUUUGAAAACAAAAAACUAGUAAAAAUAUUGAUAAUUGAGGUUAUUAUAUAUAUACAUAUAUAUGUUGAAUAACGGAGGAGAGUUUUGAUUUUAAAUAGAGAAAGAUAUGAAAAAGCUGUGUGUUCCCAAAGCUGCUAUUGAAGUUGAAGUGGGAUUUAAGAGAAGUGUUCCAUGUUGAGCUAACAAUGUGGCCCUUUAUGUGCAUGUCGCUAAAAGGCAAUACCAUGUGAUGACAUUGACUUUCUAUAUUCAUUUCCAUUACUAUUUACUAAAUUUUCACAUUGUGUUAGUAUUAAGAACUAGAGCUAGUGAAUAAUCUAGAAAGUUCAUAGCUGAUCAUCUUUAAAAAAAAGAAGAAUAUAGAUCAUUUGUGUAUGUUCGCUGAAUCUAAUUACUGAAGCAUUACAUCGAAAAAGGAUCAAGCGUGGACUUCCUUCGACCUUGAAACUGAUUACUCAAAAAAAAGUAGUCAUGAUAAGUUCGUCUUCUUCCUAAUUUAACUCCUCUGUUUCGGAAACUUGAGAUUUUGUACACUUGAUGCUAAACGGCAUGCAUGUCCCAUGUGGUUGCUUAAGAUCUCGGAUUAUGCCUCCUUAAUUAGAUUCUUAAUCAUGAUUACCACGGGGACAAAAUGUACUUAAUUACGUCCUUUGUGUGUGCAUUAUUUACAUAACAUACAAAAGUAUCAACAAAUUAGGGAAAAUGACUAAUUAAUUCCCAUUGAUUAUAAAUUUUAGUCAACUUAACCAUGUUUUCUUCUCCAAAAUCAAUGGUGUUGUGAUUCACAUUCCCAACGCAACAUACCUUCCAAAAUUACUGUUACAAAGUUUAAGUUAGGGAGAAGUUCGGACUUAUUAAUAGAUUAUAGUUUACCUUCUAGUUUAAAAUUUACAAAUGGACAUUUUAGAACUUAUGCUACAUAAGCUAAAAAGAAAACAAAUAAAUAAAAUUUACUUAUUUGAAAUAAUAGAAGGGAUAAUGAACAUCUUAAGCCAUCUUUUUAAUUUCAAAAUUUCCUAUUUUUCACAUUUAAAAUAGAUUAUGACAUGGCUUGAUGAGAGAAACAUGUCAAGCAACAUUUUCAUACUAAUUAUUUAUUUAUUUAUGGUCCUUCAUGGGGACACCAAAGUAUGAUUGUUAAAGCAUUGCUUGGCUACGUUUCACAUCACAAUGGUUAAUUGGACUAGUAUGGUUGUUUCAUUCUCUAUUUUAAUGAACUUAUUUUAAUGAACUUAUCAAACACAUUUUAUAUUGAUUAAAGAUAAGCAAUAUAACUAUAUUCUACUUAUUUUUGAGCAGGGUAAAUGAUUUUCAGAUGGUAUAUAUUGCGAUUAUAACCUUUAACUACAUAGAAAAUAUGUUAAGACUGAUUUGGCUCUUUUCCUUCAAACUUGAAUUUGUUUCUUAAAAUAGUAUUUCGCAAUUAUUUCUAUAGCUUUGGAUUUGGUUGAGGCAGGCAAAUAUGUGUUGAAUAUUCCACCUCUUCUUCCUAAUAAAUAUUUUGUAAAACUCACUCCAUUCUUUUGUAAAAUAAUGCAGAUAAAUGUAGACAUUGUGCGUGUAUAAUUGUAUAUAUAUAUGUAAUAUACAUAUAUAAUUAGUUGCAGGGAGAUGUAACAUGUUAGUCCAUGUGGGUUUCGCGUACUAAAUGUUAGGCCGCUUAGGCUCCACAGUGUUUUUAUGUCCAACGAUCUCUUUAGAUUUUUCCUAUCAACUUUGGUCCAUUCAAACAUAAUGUAACAAAAUAAGAAUUUUCAAAAUCAAUACAAUACUAAAAGUUGAAUAAGAUCAACAUCUAAACUAUCCACGUAGGCAAAUUUAAUCAACCAAUGAGAAAGUUUAAUUUUGCCAUAUCACCAUUGCUGAUAUAGAUUGAACUUUCGUGUGGGUUUAUGAAAAUUAUCAGUGUGGCCCACCCCACCCAGCCCAUGAAGAGAAAAAACAGAGAAACAUGUAUUGUUGUUUCAAGCUUCGAGUCUCUUGACUCUUCCACUUCGUCUUCUGCGAUUUGAUUUGUUUUUGCAUAACCUUCUCAAUCAUUAAUCAAUAAUGUUCUUAAAACAAUCCUUGAAUGUUUCUUUUCACCUCCCUUGAUCCUUUCUUAUAUAAAUAUAUGUCUUAAUCUAAAUCAAAACCUAUUCUGAAGAAGCUACAUCUAUGGCCAUACAAUCCACCAGAAUUCUAAGCACAACCGCCGUCGAAGCUACUUCACCAUUGAAUCAUCAUCAUCCAGGUUCUCAGCCGCCGUCGAAGCUACUUCACCAUUGAAUCAUCAUCAUCCAGGUUCUUACCAGGUUACAGCUAUCACCGUUUUCAACCCUCCGAGAAUCUCCGGUAAAAAAAUCAAUUCCCGUGACGGAGAGAUUGUGAAGAAGAUGAUAUACAUAUUUAAACUCAGAUUUCAAGUGAAGAUGUUGGUUUUCUGAAGAAGAUAUGCUUUUGUGUGAGGCACAACGAGUGUUAGAUGGACAGAGAUACAAAGAUGGGUUCAGGCAGGUAGACGAUUAUUUUCUUUGUUCCGUUUCUAUUGACCAUAGGAAAUGAAAGGAAAAAGCUUUUUGUUGGGUCCUUCUCAUGCAAAAGGAAUCGUCCAUCAGAAAACGUAAGAGCUAUAUGAAUUUGCUUCUUUAUCUGCUUAAUUUUAGUGUGGACAGUGGUGUUGAUGCGUGAGUCUUAGUGUUCGAAUAUGCAACGGAAUCGAGGUUAAGCAGCCUAACUCUGUCAUCCGUAAGUGUGCUAGAGUACAACUUAUCAAGAACGGAAAGAAGGUUAUGCUGUGACCAAUUUACUAAACGUGGAUUAGUUUUGUGAAAUGUUGAAUCAUCUUUUGUUAAUGUCUGCAAGACGAGUUCUUUAUUUCUGAGGGUCAUGUUGUGGGAGAUAUUCCUGGAGUUAGGUACAAGGUUGUCAAGGUUUCUGAUGUUUCAAUUUCAACUCUCUACAAGGGAAAGGAGCAACUAAAGUCUUAAAAAAAGCUUCAAGCUUUUGAAUAUGAUUUUGAUGUCAUAAGUACUUAUAGGUUGUUUGGUUAAAAUAACUCUUAUGUUCUGUUCUACUUUAUGAUUCAUGAACUGUGUGUGUUUAACUUCUUCUCGAUGAGUUUUUGAGUGUAGUCUGAACCUUAUACUGUUAUUCGCUUUUCUUGAAUCAUUUUCCUCAUGAGUAUAGUGUAGUAGAUAUUAUGUUUUCGACUUGCACAACAAAUAGCAACGUCACAAGUGAGCAAUAACAAUAAGAGACCAAAUGACAUGCAUGUUGUGUUUCUAUAUAUGGUGAGAUUAUAUAGUUUUUAUUAUUUACGGUUACGGAGUAAAGUUCAGAUGAAUAUUUACUUGACCAUUACUUAUCAAGUUGUAAUAAAAAAAUAAUUGUUCCCCCAUUUCCAAAUAAGAAACUAAUUAUAUUCUUUCAUAAAAAAAACUAAUUAUAUUCAACAAAAAUAUAUUAAAUUUCAUAUAAGAUACUAAUAAUUUAAGAAGUUAUAGCAUACCUUUCAUGUUAACAUAUUUUUACCUAUUUGUUUUCUUCUUUUGUGACCUCAGUGAAUGGUAUAAGUUAUAACAAACCUUUCAUGUUAUUUACGUUAAGUCUUACUAACGUUACAAUUUCUCAUGUUAACAUUGAACUCUUUCAGGAAAUUUAUCAGUUAAAUUUGCAUUGAUUAGUGUCUGCUGAAUCAACCUGAUUAGCCAAAUGAUCAAUAAAUGUUCUUUUCACUUAGUGUGACGUUUGAACUCUAUUAUAUGCAAACCUACUUUAUAAUAUGCAAACCCUUUGUCAACUAUGAUGUUAACAUUUUAGCAAAAAAAAAACUAUGAUGUUCUCAAGCAUGUUUUAGUUUUAGUCGAGUCGAUGGAUUAGGUUAAUCGAUUGAGAUAUAAUUUUGCUCAUUGAAGCAUCACUAUUUAAAAUAUUAUAUUGACUUGAAGAAAUAUUAGACCAUAGAAGAUUAGUUUUAGUGAUUUUUAUGGUUUUCGCUUUCGGGUUUAUCUAUCAAAGAAUGGUAGAAUAUCAAAGUUUUAAGGUGAAAACAGAUCAAAUUUAAACAAGCUCCUCCACUGAAUAGUCACAUGGACAGAACCGUUUUGGACGUAGAGUAUAUACCUCAUAAAAUUUUAAACUUAAAAUACAUAAACAUAGAGUUUUCAAUUUGUUUAGUAAAUUUAUUUUACUAAUUGUCUGUGAUCCCCAAAAUUUGAGAAUCACCCUGUAUAUAGAGUAUGGAGUGAUGAGGACUAAAUCCUAUUGGUAUAGUCUUUUGUUACUAAAGCUAUAGCGACAAGCAAUAGAAGCAGUAUACUCCAUUUCACUGGAAAAAUAAAGUAAGCAGACUAUCACUAAUUUUCCAUACAAAUAAAAAAGUUUAAACCAAAGUAAAUUUUAAAAUAAUGACAUUCUCAAUUUUGGUAAAAAAAUAUUUUACCUAAAUUUAUAGGGUGAAAAUAAAAAUGAUAUUUCAAAGAAUAAGAAUCAUUGAAUAACUAUUGUAGGUCAUAUAUUUAAGUAUUCGAAUUCGAACUAUUUGGCUUUCAAACUUACAGGUUAGAUUUGAUUUCUAGAAUUAUAAAUUAACUGUAUUACUGAUUAAUAUGCAAAGUUACAUGUCAUGUUAGAAACGCGUCUAAAGAAUGCAGUCUUUAUUAUCUUAUUUAUUCACAAUUAUUGAUCAUGUCAAUUAUUUAGAUUUUUUAUCAUUUUAAAAUUACUAGAUGAUUAUUCAUAUCUCAGUAAAAAAAUAUUAGUCAAUAUUAAUAAAAAAAAUCAUUAUAUAUUGUUUAACAAAUCAUAUUUAUAUUAAAAUAAAAUUUUAUCAAAUAUUUAUUGUGAUAUUUAGAAUCUGAAUAUUAUAUUUUAGUAUAUUCAUACCUAAUAAAAAAUAAUAAUCAUACGUGAAGAAUUUUGCUAAUGUAUAUAGCACAAUUAGACACUAUACACAUAAAUUGCAUGUUUAAUUCACAUGACUAAAGAGUAUGAUUAAAAUACUAUACUACUAUACUAAAAGCCCGAUAUACUCCACUCUAAAGCUGUCCACGUCAUUUAUUAAAUUCAACCAAUCAGAGAGCAUUGUUUGGUCACGUCACCAUCAAACUUCUCAAAAAGCUUCGGGCCUAUUUCGAUUGAUCUUCUCAUCUUUUUUCCUCUUGCAAAAACGUUUUUUGAGAAGACUGUGUUAUCUCACAAACCUUCCUCCAGCACUCAUAAUUAUAUAUUGAUUCAACCUAUAAAGUCACUAAUAAUAGAUUGAUUCGUCUGUUUGAGUCGAUUUCAUCAUCUCCGCUUCAGUUCUAAAUACAAUUUUCCAGUUCAAAAUUCACAUUGACUCGGGAAUACUCAACCGACGAAUAGUAUAGUUCAUCAACCGCAGGCCAUGUUCGAAAACGCGGCAACCCAGCCGAGUACAUGGCCUUGCAACGCUCGGCGGUGAAGAACCGCCGCGAUUUCAUCAAAAUCGGACAAAAAAUCGGAUUCAUCAAAAAAGUCCAGGCUUUUGAAUUUUAAACGCUUGGAAUUUGAUGUUACGUCGCAAAUCUACAGUUUUUAUGCAAAAAUUGAUAAGAAAAUUGCAAGAAAAUGAUGUUUUAUGUUAAAAAAGUUCGAGGCGGCCAUGCAAAUUUCGUAGUAGAAGUGAAAGCCCUAAAAGGAAGAAGACGAUUUAAUUACGAGUUUGCCAUUAAUUAAAAAAAAAAUCUAAAACAAAAAGAAAGGAUCUGCGUUUCGAACCCGUGACAUCCUCCGUCAUAAAAUCGUCUUUUGCCACUGGACCACGUCGUCUUUCAAAAGAAACGCAGAAAAAUGUUUAAUAGAUUAUAGUUAUACAUAAAUUAAGAAAACCACUGAAAACUAAUCCCCACGUACUCCAGCUUAAUCUCCGAUUUUUCGUUAACUCGCUAGACACCAACCAACAGCCCGACUCACUCCUAGCGUAGUUUCGAACAUGGACCGCAGGUGACCAAUUACGCAGUUUUAAUAUAACUGAAACUACGAUUGCUAGCUCCACUUCUCCGGAAAAUUCUAGGACCGCAACACCGGCAAAUUCCACAUCGUCUUUGAGAGCGUCGGGUCGGAUUUUGGUCUCGGCCCUCUUAGUAAAGCUGAUCUCGAUCUGAUCGUAAAGUUUUGUUCGAUUCAAUUAUUUCAAUCAGAUUUUUCCAGUAGAUGAUUCUGAGUUUUAUAUUUUUUUUAGACAUAUAUGAUUUUUUCAGUCAGAUCGAGAUGUUUACUAGAUGUAUAACUCGGGAACAAAUUCUGUUGCAGAAUGAAAAUUGAAUCAUGUAAGCUGUUCAUCGGUCAUCUCUCUUGGAAGACGCACUGAAGAUCGAGAGUACAUUUCAGAGUUUCGGUGAGGUUUAGAAGUGAUGCUCAUGAAGGAUCGAGCCACUGGAUGUGCUCAUGGUUUAUUUUUUGUCUUCGCUGAUCCCAGUGUCAGCUGCACUCACUGUUGGGAGACAAGAGCUCUAUGCUCUGUUUGUUGAAGAAGGUUUGGAUUUGAGCAGUAUCCAUAGAAAAGGAAGCCAUGAAAAGUUUUGAGAAAGUCAUUAAACUCUCUGACCAUAUUUCUAGAUUGACGAUAAAUUUGAUUCAAAGUAACAAAAAUUUCAUAGUAUUGAUUUUCAUUUUGUUUAGAUAAAACUUUGUUUUAGUUUUCAGAUUUAAAAAUGUAUAUUUAUUUAGUUUUCAAAAAGUAUAGUCACAUUCAACCAUAUUCAAAUGUGCUCUACUUUAUAAUCGUUUUUGUUGUUUGGUCUUAAACAUGACUAAUUAUAUAUAUUAGACACAGAAGUUGGACUAAUUGCUUGAAUGGUUUAGGCAAGCAGUUCUGUUUUCUUCUCUUACAUAAAUUGAAAAAAAUUGAAUUUAAUAUUACAACAAAAUCAAGGUCUAAUCAAUGUUCCGGCAAUGACCAUGAAGACAAUCGGCUUAAAUUUAACGCCAUGGUAUUGGAAUCAACAGAGAAUCUUUCAAACUCAGAAAUAAAUAUAAAUAACUACCUUAACAUUUUUUUCCAAAAAUACCAAAAACUAAAACAAAUACUAGAGCUAGACCUGGAAACUGUCUUUACAUAGACGAGGCUGAAAUGAAAAAGAUAACAAAUGAAUUAAAAAAAAAUAAAAAAUGGAACCAUACAUACAAAAUAAAUAUUAUGGCCAAAACACAAAAAGAAAUAAAUAAGAUGAACCAAAAGUUUUUUUUUUGAAACUAAGAUGAACCAAAAGUUAGAAAAAAAAACAUUUAAAAUUGGUUCAAAUAAAGAAUUUAGGCAACAAUUAAUGACAGCAACAAAAUAAUAAACUACAAUAAAUAUACUCCAAAAGUUAACACCAAUAAUUAACACAAAAAUCAUAUAAUCACAUAUUAAUCAUUGUUGUAUCAAUCAUUCCCACAAAAUAAUUACAUACAAUAACAACAAAAGUAACGUUAAUAUACAAGUGAAACAUUAAACAACGACAUGUAUCCACAAAAAGCUGAACUAUAAACACAUAAAACAAGCAGUCGAAAAAGAGAGCUUGACAAAUAUUCUUAUGUGAUACAUGAGAAAUCAAUAUGCUAAGAAACAAUUAACCGGCUGUUUAGAAGCGUUAAUCCAACAAUAUAUAAAUGUAUGUUCACAGCAAAUGAAAUCCUACUAUCAAUUACAUUACAUUAAAAAAAACUAUCAAUUACAACACAUUUAAAAAUGAGAAAUCAAAAAAAUUACUACACUUUUAUAUUAGGAGCAAAAUUCUACAAACAAUAAGUUGUAUCCGGUGGUUUAGAAGAAUAUGAACUUCAGAAAUAUAAAUAUCAUAUUUAAAUACAAUACAUAACUGUACAUGGACAUUAACUUUAGAAGAAAAUAAAAUGUUACAUUUAUUGAUUUCAAAAAUGCAUUUUCUCAUAUACAUAAAUAUGUUAUAGUAUUCUUGCAACCAGAAACAUAUAUUAUUCAAAUAAAAAUAAUACUCUUUGUUAAAAUAUAUAUAUCCUCUUUAUAAAUAAGUGUAUGUUCUUUAUUCACCAAAAGAUAAACAUUUAAAACGAAAAGGAUACACGAAUAUCUGACACAUAAGAAUAAAAUGAUUACAAAUAAUAAUACAUUGCAAACCAGUAUUACAACAAAGACACACACAAAAUCCAAUUUAAUUUACCAUCUACUACAUAUUUUAAAACCAAUCGAAAAUAAUGAAUAAAAAUUAGUUUUCACCUGCAAAAGGGGGUGUGGCUUCUUUUUGUUUCCAUUAUAGUUAGCGCUAAAUUUAUAUAUAAAUACACUUAAAUCAAAUAUUAGUUACAUGAAAAUGGCUAUAUGUUCCAUAUCAAAUUUCUUUUUGUAUUCGCUCCUCCAUGACAUAAAAGAUAAGCUGAUUUCAAUACCAUCUUCAGUGUGUUCAUAAAAUAUCGACAUAUCAUAUGACCAAAGCUAAGUGGUACAUAUAUCAAAUUUUUUAAAAUUUCUAAAUUUAUAGAAAACAAAAA